AUAAAAGAUAAAAGAAACUACACUAAAUGUAAAUGAUGUAAACCCCUUUGUGAGAGCUCUGAGAAUCAAAGCCCUAACCCUUUGAGAGAGAUCAGAGAAUCGAAGCGGAGAAACGAUUUGGGUGUGUAACAGCAAUCCACUGCGAGGUGAGUUGAAAGUGUGGUUAAAUUUGAUGUUUAUGUGCACCAUCGGGGGUAUUUUGCACACCCACCCAAUGGGACUGUCGGGUUCAAAGCUAAUUUGCUUAGAAACCUGUUUUGGUCAAUUUCAACAGCUACACAUCCUGUAGCUUAUUAGAAGGCCAUGAAAAAAAUGGAAAGAGCAAGCAAACCAGCCUACCAAUAUUUGAUGACUAAAGACCCCAAGUCAUGGUGUAAGGCCUUCUUUACCACACAUUCAAACACUAAAAAUGUGGAAAAUAAUAUGUUAGAGUCAUUCACUGCUUGGAUUAUUAAUGAAAGGUUACAUAUCUUCAAUUGAUCAUUUAUUUGUUGUUUUGAUAUAUGUUUUGAUAUGCUUUGUAGACACCCUUACUUGACUUGUCAGGUAUAUGCCUUUACCCGAUAUGCUUCAGGAGAUUCAUUUUAAGUAAUGAAUAGAAUUACUGAAUUAAGAAGAAUAGAGAGAAUACGGAACUGAAUGAGUUGCAAACUUGUCCAAAGAUUAAGGGAAAACUUGAUCUUUCUGUGACAAAAUCAAGAGAUUGGAGGGCAACUUGGGAUGGAUUGAGGACAUUUGUGGUGAAAAAUGGUAUUGGGACCUUGAUAGGUGACUUGACAGAAAUAAAGACUGCAGGGUGUUUGACUUGACUAGUAUUCCAUUUGAACAUGUAGUAGCAACAUAUAAUAGACACAAAGGAGCACAGAUCUAAUCUUCAAUAUGUAUAUAAUUAAUCACCUUGAACGCAUAUAUAAUCUUGUAUAUGUAUAUAAUUCAUCACCUUUUAUCA